CCAGCCUGGAAAAGCUGGUGGUCUUAGACGGGCAGCCCCUCACCGGGGCAGCAAGGAUCCUCUCCCCGCCCUUCACACAGCGUCUCGGUUAGAAUCCGGACAGUAAUGUGGCCAACCGGGCAGCGGGAGUCUGCAGAGGGAGGCAGGAGGAAGGCUGAGCUUCACAGAGAGAAAACUGAGACUCCAAGAGGCCAGUGGAAUCAGGAGUAGGUGGGGGUAUGCUGUAGAUACAGUGGGGUCCUGAUCCUGCCCUUGGUCGUGGAGGCCAGUCUAGUCACACACUGGCCUGUGGGGCCACCCUGGGAGCGCUUAGAGGGAGGAGGCUGUGAACACGGAGGCAGCCCAGACUCUGGGGCCAGAUGGACCUGAGUUUGAAUUCAUCAACGCUGCCUACCACCUAAGGUGAGUGGUCUGCUUUCUCUGAGGCUCCAUCUGCAGACAGGACAAAGCCCAGGGGGACCCAGCUGCCAACUCCCCAAGAACCUUCAGCCACAGACAAUGAGCAGCUGGGGACAGGAGCUGGGCUACAGGCACAGAGCAGGGGGAAUUGGGAACGGAGAGCUGAAGCCGGAGAGCUCUGGCCUGGGCAGCUGCGAGGGAGCAGGCCAGCGGGAGAUGGCCUGGAGGGUCACGGGGGAGCAGGUCAGAGGGUGGAAGCUGGGUGGGGCGGUGGGGAGUGGAUUGGUGGCCUUGGCAGUCCUGGUCUCUAAGAGCCCUGCAGUGUGGGAGGAGACGCGUGAAAGCGAGGGACGGCACAGUGUGACAGCUUUCCACAGGGCCAGGUAAGGCGAAGAGCAAGCUAGCACCGAGGGGAAUGAGCUGAGGGCGGGGAGAGGAGGCGGUUCUGUGCGGUCCCAGAGGCCAUGGCAGCCGCUACCCCCUCUGCUGUUCCCAGCAGAGCUUUGGCGGAGCUGGGCGAGGUGGCACUGGGGCCAGUGCCAGGCCAGGCUCCCCUGCCUGUAAAAUAUACCUCAAAGCCACCCCUUUCUUCUCACCCCCUCCAGCAUCCCAGGCCAGCCCAGCCCAUCCUCCCAGGCUCCUUCUGGUCCUCCCCUGCCUCUCUUCCUACUCUCCCUUCAGCCCACAGAGGGGUGGGGUUAAAACGCAGCCCCAAGCACACCACUCCCUGCAUAAACCCUUCCGCGGCUUCCUGUUGCAGUUGGACUAAAACCCAAGCUCCGUGGCUCACAACGGGCCCCGCCAGACUCUUCAGUUUCAUCCCUCCUCCCUGGUGCCAGCUCCGCCACACUGGCCUCGUUUCUGUUCCUUGGAUGCACCAGCUGUUCCUGGUACCUGGAGGCCUCUUCCCACCGAGCAUCCAUGGCUGGUGCCUCCAGUUCUUGUUUUUAUU
ensembl:lncRNA